CUGGGAGGUCAGAGAGGACACGUAGGAAGUCCGGGAGGAGCGGCCUGAGUUGGUGGCCACAGCCUCCUCAAAGGUGACGCUGGGACGGGGAGUCAGCGGAGUCUGGGGGAGCUGCCUCCGCCCACUGCGGCCAGGGGUGCUAGCACCGGAUGUUGACAACAAGGGGCUCCCAUUCACUGAACCACCACCCUACAUAAAACAGAACAGAGCAAAUAAAUAUCAAAGGACCAGAUCAGAGGCCAGUGCAGUCAUCUAGGUUGCAUGGCAUGGAUCACACCCUGAGCUCAGAGCUGGAGCCUGAUGGCCUCAGAUGGCCACACUAAUGACAAGACCAAUUACUGCUGGGGUUUUGAGAAGAUCAUCCUCCAUCUUCCUAGAGUUGCAAGCCUCUCCUCUGCAGCAUGCUGUCUGGAGCUGCCGUGGCCCUGAGAGGAGGCCCAGCCGGGAAAAUGGAAGCUGGACCUCCAGGCCUUGUCAGCCCUGCGGCCACUACAUGAUGCAGCCAGUUGCACUGUCUGUUAGGUGGCUCAGUAAAUGCCCUGACUGCCUGGUACAGGCUGAUCAGACCUGGCUCACUUGCAAUAAAAGGGAGUGGUGGCUCAUUUUAUAAAACUUAUAACAAG